rnacentral:misc_RNA from 1 species
UGUAGGGGUGCAUGUAGGCACGGUCCUUGUGAUGCGGUACGUGAUGGUGUGUGAGUGGUAUUUGGUUUGUGGGGUUGGCGGGCUCUUUGCUUGUGCAUUGGACCGUUCACCAACGUACCUUUUCAUUGUAUGCUGCAAGUGCGCACCGUUUUGCCUUGGGCGACGUGUGGUCCCUAUGUUGGAUUCCGAUUAACGGUAUUGUUGCUGUCCCUUUAAAGAGUGAUAUUCGCUCUACGUCCGUAAAAGGAGGUCGAGCGGACCAUGAAGCUUGACUCGUUAUCCUCCUGUUUUGUGAAAACAAGCAUGAUAGGGUUGGAUUAUGAUCUCAAGUUGGGCCCUAGGAUACAGAAAGUUGUGUGGGAGUUGAUGUUAAGACGUCGCAAACCCAAAGCGUUGGUACGCUAACGAUGGAUGACAUUCGAGUGUGUUGUGAUUCUUUCAUUCUUGAAAGGUUCAUGCGCGCCGAUGUCGACCAAGGAGUGCUACCUGGUUGAUCCUG